GCCUCGGUGGUGUAGUGGUCAAGACGCUCGCCUAGUAAACAGGGAGUGUGGGUUCAAUCCCAGCCGAGGUA
rnacentral:tRNA from 1 species